ensembl:snRNA U6 U6 spliceosomal RNA
AUGCUCACUUUGGCAGCACAUAUGUUAAAAUUGGAAUGAUACAAAGAUUAGCAUGGCCCCUGCACAAGGAUGACACACAAUUUUACGAAGGUUUCAUAUUUUUC